rnacentral:rRNA from 1 species
GUCCACGCCGUAAACGGUGGGCGCUAGUUGUGGGAACCUUCAACGGUUUCCGCGACGCAGCUAACGCAUUAAGCGCCCCGCAUGGGGAGUACGAUCGCAAGAUUAAAACUCAAAGGAAUUGACGGGGCCCCGCACAAGCAGCGGAGCAUGCGGCUUAAUUCGACGCAACGCGAAGAACCUUACCAAGGCUUGACAUAUACAGGAAUAUGGCAGAGAUGUCAUAGCGGUAAAACGUCUGUAUACAGGUGGUGCAUGGUUGUCGUCAGCUCGUGUCGUGAGAUGUUGGGUUAAGUCCCGCAACGAGCGCAACCCUCGUUCUGUGUUGCCAGCAUUUAGUUGGGGACUCACGGGAGACUGCCGGGGUUAACUCGGAGGAAGGUGGGGAUGACGUCAAAUCAUCAUGCCCCUUAUGUCUUGGGCUGCACGCAUGCUACAAUGGCUGGUACAAAGGGCUGCAAUACUGCAAAGUGGAGCGAAUCCCAAAAAGCCAGUCUCAGUUCGGAUUGGGGUCUGCAACUCGACCCCAUGAAGUCGGAGUUGCUAGUAAUCGUGGAUCAGCAACGCUACGGUGAAUACGUUCCCGGGGCUUGUACACACCGCCCGUCACAUCACGAA